rnacentral:rRNA from 2 species
UGCCUAAUACAUGCAAGUCGAACGAGCUUCCGUUGAAUGACGUGCUUGCACUGAUUUUAACAAUGAAGCGAGUGGCGAACUGGUGAGUAACACGUGGGAAAUCUGCCCAGAAGCAGGGGAUAACACUUGGAAACAGGUGCUAAUACCGUAUAACAACAAAAUCCGCAUGGAUUUUGUUUGAAAGGUGGCUUCGGCUAUCACUUCUGGAUGAUCCCGCGGCGUAUUAGUUAGUUGGUGAGGUAAAGGCCCACCAAGACGAUGAUACGUAGCCGACCUGAGAGGGUAAUCGGCCACAUUGGGACUGAGACACGGCCCAAACUCCUACGGGAGGCAGCAGUAGGGAAUCUUCCACAAUGGACGAAAGUCUGAUGGAGCAAUGCCGCGUGAGUGAAGAAGGGUUUCGGCUCGUAAAACUCUGUUGUUAAAGAAGAACACCUUUGAGAGUAACUGUUCAAGGGUUGACGGUAUUUAACCAGAAAGCCACGGCUAACUACGUGCCAGCAGCCGCGGUAAUACGUAGGUGGCAAGCGUUGUCCGGAUUUAUUGGGCGUAAAGCGAGCGCAGGCGGUUUUUUAAGUCUGAUGUGAAAGCCUUCGGCUUAACCGGAGAAGUGCAUCGGAAACUGGGAGACUUGAGUGCAGAAGAGGACAGUGGAACUCCAUGUGUAGCGGUGGAAUGCGUAGAUAUAUGGAAGAACACCAGUGGCGAAGGCGGCUGUCUAGUCUGUAACUGACGCUGAGGCUCGAAAGCAUGGGUAGCGAACAGGAUUAGAUACCCUGGUAGUCCAUGCCGUAAACGAUGAGUGCUAAGUGUUGGAGGGUUUCCGCCCUUCAGUGCUGCAGCUAACGCAUUAAGCACUCCGCCUGGGGAGUACGACCGCAAGGUUGAAACUCAAAGGAAUUGACGGGGGCCCGCACAAGCGGUGGAGCAUGUGGUUUAAUUCGAAGCUACGCGAAGAACCUUACCAGGUCUUGACAUCUUCUGCCAAUCUUAGAGAUAAGACGUUCCCUUCGGGGACAGAAUGACAGGUGGUGCAUGGUUGUCGUCAGCUCGUGUCGUGAGAUGUUGGGUUAAGUCCCGCAACGAGCGCAACCCUUAUUAUCAGUUGCCAGCAUUCAGUUGGGCACUCUGGUGAGACUGCCGGUGACAAACCGGAGGAAGGUGGGGAUGACGUCAAAUCAUCAUGCCCCUUAUGACCUGGGCUACACACGUGCUACAAUGGACGGUACAACGAGUUGCGAAGUCGUGAGGCUAAGCUAAUCUCUUAAAGCCGUUCUCAGUUCGGAUUGUAGGCUGCAACUCGCCUACAUGAAGUUGGAAUCGCUAGUAAUCGCGGAUCAGCAUGCCGCGGUGAAUACGUUCCCGGGCCUUGUACACACCGCCCGUCACACCAUGAGAGUUUGUAACACCCAAAGCCGGUGAGAUAACCUUCGGGAGUCAGCCGUCUAAGGUGGGACAGAUGAUUAGGGUGAAGUCGUAACAAGGUAGCCGUAGGAGAACCUGCGGCUGGAUCACCUCCUUUCUAAGGAAUAUACGGAGGCUACACAUACUUGUUGAAACAAUGUUCAGUUUUGAGGGGCUUACCUCUCUAAAC